rnacentral:rRNA from 1 species
GAUUUCUGAUGAACCGGAGUGGCCCGUUUCCUUUCAGGGAAUGAGUGCCGCUUUGAGUUUGUCAUCCUUCCAGAGAGCUGCGUCUACCGUUUACUCGGCCGGACGUAUGCGAUCUGGAUCUAUUACUUUGAAAAAAUUAGAGUGUUUCAAGCAGGCAUGUUUUGCUAUGAAUACAUUAGCAUGGAAUAAUAAUCUAGGACUUUCGGUUCUAUUUUGUUGGUGUUCUGGAGCUGAAGUAAUGAUUGAUAGGGAUAGUUGGGGGUGCUAGUAUUCAAUGGCCAGAGGUGAAAUUCUCGGAUUCCUUGAAGACUAACUUAUGCGAAAGCAUU